GAUGAACGCUGGCGGCGUGCCUAAUACAUGCAAGUCGAGCGAACAGAUAAGGAGCUUGCUCCUUUGACGUUAGCGGCGGACGGGUGAGUAACACGUGGGUAACCUACCUAUAAGACUGGGAUAACUUCGGGAAACCGGAGCUAAUACCGGAUAACAUUUGGAACUGCAUGGUUCUAAAGUGAAAGAUGGUUUUGCUAUCACUUAUAGAUGGACCCGCGCCGUAUUAGCUAGUUGGUAAGGUAACGGCUUACCAAGGCAACGAUACGUAGCCGACCUGAGAGGGUGAUCGGCCACACUGGAACUGAGACACGGUCCAGACUCCUACGGGAGGCAGCAGUAGGGAAUCUUCCGCAAUGGGCGAAAGCCUGACGGAGCAACGCCGCGUGAGUGAUGAAGGGUUUCGGCUCGUAAAACUCUGUUAUUAGGGAAGAACAAACGUGUAAGUAACUGUGCACGUCUUGACGGUACCUAAUCAGAAAGCCACGGCUAACUACGUG
rnacentral:rRNA from 1 species